UCGGUUACUCAGGAAAAAAAAGGUAGAUGUUUACUGUAUAAAAUAAAUAUUCCUGCUCACAUUUCAACAUCGUAAUUGUGUUUGGGAAUUGUUAGACUUAUGAGCCUUUUAAAACAAACUUGCUUUCACGGAGUUUUUCAUCGUUAGGUCAGUUAUGACAUGAAAACUGGUCAGGUGUGGAAGCUUUUUGCCAGACUGCUGUCAAAGUGUUGAUUCAGACUGCAGGAGACGGUGAGUGAGAGCAGCUGCUUACAUAUGGAGACCUGAGCCCAAAUUCAUCACUACUCUGAAUGUUCGCUUGGACUGUGCAUUUGGAUUUUUCUGAGGACAUUUGGCUGAAAUUUAAGUAAAUAAGACAGAAAUGGAGAGGAAUGGAAACUAUACUAUGAGAAUGAAAAUAUGCCAGUGUUCAGCACAUGUGAAACAUUAAAAACUGAGUUUGACUGAUGGCCGAGCAGCUUCCGUGGAGGAAUGGCCCCUGUUGGAGCCGUUAUCUGUGGCAUUAUUCUGGCAGAGCGAUGGACUGGACCCUGGAAGGGACAGCUGAGUCAUUUGGCAGAGACCGGCGAGCCAAUUGGUCAGGGAAGUUAUGAGGACAACACUAGAUUUGUGACCACCUUACAGCACUGUCU